UUCAAAUUUAUUAUAUCAUUAUUCAUUUCUUUAGAAAUUGAUUGUGUUCAUAGUCAAUGAACACGAAAAUAUUUGCAUAGCGGGACUAAAUAUAAACUGACCUAAAAUAAAAAGUCUAUGAAGAUUUCUAGUUGGUCUCUAGCCCACAUGGGAAAAUAAAUUUAAAAAAAAGAAAAAAUCGUCGGGCUGGUUACGCUACUCGGGUACAAUUCGUACAAAGCCUUGAAUAUUGCUGUGAGAAAACGUGUGAAAGCCAACAAAGUAAUUUACUUUAAUUAACAAUUAUUCGCCGAAGGCGAGGUGAUUGUCGGUGAAUAAAAGCCGAGACGAAGUCGAGGUUUUUAUUCACGAUAAUCACCGAGCCUGAGGUGAAUAAUUGUUUUAGUAUAAUUUCAUAGGUGAUUAUUUAGAAAAAAAUAAAAAAUAGACAUUUCUUCGUCAUUUAAUUGACAAAACGGCUUCGGCCGCCAUUUUGAAAAUCGCUUAGGUGAUUAUCGCGUAAUAAUCACCUCAACGGCAACCAAUCCAUAGAGAUUAUAAAUAACACUAGAGGAGGCAUCGAGGUUAAAAAUUGGGAACGCAGCUAUUGGGGGGCAAAUUCAAGUCCCG